AAUGUAUGAAAGACCUAAAUAGA
rnacentral:piRNA from 1 species